rnacentral:lncRNA from 1 species
AGGAAAACAAUAUCAAAUUGAGGAAUUAUAGAGGCCUAUCAUAGAAACAUCAGUGUUUAUUGAUAUCUUUGGAUUAACAAUAAUUUGAGAAACAUAUAAACUUCUCUCAUAUAUAUUCCAGCCACAUAUUAGUCACCAUAAAAAUUCUACAUAAAAGAUAAAAGAAACAAAUGACAAAAAGUAUUAAAGAAAAUCAGUUUAACAAAGAUAUAUAGUGAACGCAUGAAACUAAUUAAUAGACAUAUCAGAAUAGUUGAACGCUUUUUUGUUUCUGUGUCUCAUCGUUUCUUUGCAGCUUCUUCCCCAUAUUCAUAUCCAAGAGUUAAGAAAUUAAGCUGAGUAAGAUAUUAAAAUUGGGAGAAAAGACUUGGAAGAAGUCUUGAACUUUUGGUGGGAGCUCCUUUGAGAGGGAGGCAACAACAAAUAACUAGGCUUCUUUUUUCAUCUCUAUUUCAAAAGAAAAAAAGAAUCCUUAUAACUAUUCAAAUCCAUAAAAGAAAAAUCACCUCUGGCUUUACUCUCUUC